CGAUACGAGUUUGAUCCUGGCUCAGAACGAACGCUGGCGGCAUGCCUAACACAUGCAAGUCGAACGAACCCUUCGGGGUUAGUGGCGCACGGGUGCGUAACGCGUGGGGAUCUGCCCAAAGGUUCGGAAUAACUCAGAGAAAUUUGAGCUAAUACCGGAUAAUGUCUUCGGACCAAAGAUUUAUUGCCUUUGGAUGAACCCGCGUAGGAUUAGCUUGUUGGUGGGGUAAAGGCCUACCAAGGCGACGAUCCUUAGCUGGUCUGAGAGGAUGAUCAGCCACACUGGGACUGAGACACGGCCCAGACUCCUACGGGAGGCAGCAGUGGGGAAUAUUGGACAAUGGGCGAAAGCCUGAUCUAGCAAUGCCGCGUGAGUGAUGAAGGCCUUAGGGUUGUAAAGCUCUUUUACCAGGGAUGAUAAUGACAGUACCUGGAGAAUAAGCUCCGGCUAACUCCGUG
rnacentral:rRNA from 1 species